rnacentral:rRNA from 1 species
AACGCUGGCUGUGUGCCUAAUACAUGCAUGUCGAGCGGAAGUAGCAAUACUUUAGCGGCGAAUGGGUGAGUAACACGUGCUUAAUCUACCCUUUAGACUGGAAUAACUAAUGGAAACAUUGGCUAAUGCCGGAUGCGCAUGGAAUCGCAUGAUUCCGUUGUGAAAGGAGCCUCAAAGCUCCACUAGAGGAUGAGGGUGCGGAACAUUAGCUUGUUGGUGAGGUAACGGCCCACCAAGGCAAUGAUGUUUAGCCGGGUCGAGAGACUGAACGGCCACAUUGGGACUGAGAUACGGCCCAAACUCCUACGGGAGGCAGCAGUAGGGAAUAUUCCACAAUGAGCGAAAGCUUGAUGGAGCGACACAGCGUGCACGAUGACGGUCUUCGGAUUGUAAAGUGCUGUUAUAGGGGAAGAACACUUAGUUGAGGAAAUGCUUCUAAGCUGACGGUACCCUGUCAGAAAGCGAUGGCUAACUAUGUGCCAGCAGCCGCGGUAAUACAUAGGUCGCAAGCGUUAUCCGGAAUUAUUGGGCGUAAAGCGUUCGUAGGCUGUUUAUUAAGUCUGGAGUUAAAUCCCAGGGCUCAACCCUGGCUCGCUUUGGAUACUGGUAAACUAGAGUUAGAUAGAGGUAAGCGGAAUUCCAUGUGAAGCGGUGAAAUGCGUAGAUAUAUGGAAGAACACCAAAGGCGAAGGCAGCUUGCUGGGUCUAUACUGACGCUGAGGGACGAAAGCGUGGGGAGCAAACAGGAUUAGAUACCCUGGUAGUCCACGCCGUAAACGAUGAUCAUUAGUCGGUGGAUUAAUCACUGACGCAGCUAACGCAUUAAAUGAUCCGCCUGAGUAGUAUGCUCGCAAGAGUGAAACUUAAAGGAAUUGACGGGGACCCGCACAAGCGGUGGAGCAUGUGGUUUAAUUUGAAGAUACGCGGAGAACCUUACCCACUCUUGACAUCCUUCGCAAAGCUAUAGAGAUAUAGUGGAGGUUAACGGAGUGACAGAUGGUGCAUGGUUGUCGUCAGCUCGUGUCGUGAGAUGUUUGGUCAAGUCCUGCAACGAGCGCAACCCCUAUCUUUAGUUACUAACGAGUCAUGUCGAGGACUCUAGAGAUACUGCCUGGGUAACUGGGAGGAAGGUGGGGAUGACGUCAAAUCAUCAUGCCUCUUACGAGUGGGGCAACACACGUGCUACAAUGGUCGGUACAAAGAGAAGCAAUAUGGCGACAUGGAGCAAAUCUCAAAAAGCCGAUCUCAGUUCGGAUUGGAGUCUGCAAUUCGACUCCAUGAAGUCGGAAUCGCUAGUAAUCGCAGAUCAGCUAUGCUGCGGUGAAUACGUUCUCGGGUCUUGUACACACCGCCCGUCACACCAUGGGAGCUGGUAAUACCCAAAGUCGGUUUGCUAACCUCGGAGGCGACUGCCUAAGGUAGGACUGGUGACUGGGGUGAAGUCGUAACAAGGUAUCCCUACGAGAACGUGGGGAUGGAUCACCUCCUUUCU